GACGAACGCUGGCGGCGUGCUUAACACAUGCAAGUCGAACGGAAAGGCCUGCUUUCCCUUGUGGAUUGCGGGUACUCGAGUGGCGAACGGGUGAGUAACACGUGAGUAAUCUGCCCCCAACUUGGGUAUAAGCCUGGGAAACUGGGUCUAAUUCCCGAUAGGACUGCAGGGUGGUGCCUGUGGUGGAAAACGAUUUUCUAGUGGUUGGGGAUGAGCUCGCGGCCUAUCAGCUUGUUGGUGGGGUAAUGGCCUACCAAGGCGGCGACGGGUAGCCGGCCUGAGAGGGUGGACGGCCACAUUGGGACUGAGAUACGGCCCAGACUCCUACGGGAGGCAGCAGUGGGGAAUAUUGCACAAUGGGCGGAAGCCUGAUGCAGCGACGCCGCGUGGGGGAUGACGGCCUUCGGGUUGUAAACUCCUUUCGACCGCGAGGAAGCCACCUGGUUGGAAGGGUGGUGACGGUAGUGGUAGAAGAAGCACCGGCUAACUACGUG
rnacentral:rRNA from 1 species